rnacentral:tRNA from 1 species
GUCCUUGUAGCUUAACACCAAAGCAUAGCACUGAAGAUGCUAAGAUGGCUGACCUUCUCCCAAGGACA